ACAGCACCGCCGCGGUAACACCAGCAGCCCAAGUGGUGGUCGCGAUUAUUGGGCCUAAAGCGCUCGUAGCCGGGCCGGUAAGUCCCUUGUGAAAUCGGACGGCCUAACCGUUCGGCGUGCAAGGGAUACUGUCGGUCUUGAGGCCGGGAGACGUCCGAGGUACUCCGGGGGUAGCGGUGAAAUGUUCUGAUCCUCGGGGGACCACCGGUGGCGAAGGCGUUCGACGAGAACGGGCCUGACGGUGAGGGGCGAAGGCUAGGGGAGCAAACGGGAUUAGAGACCCCCGUAGUCCCUGUCUCUUAUAC
rnacentral:rRNA from 1 species